UAAUACGAAGGGUGCAAACGUUGCUCGGAAUUAUUGGGCGUAAAGCGCACGUAGGCGGCUUUGCAAGUUCGAUGUGAAAUCCCUCGGCUCAACCAAGGAAGUGCAUCGAAAACUGCAGAGCUUGAGUACGAAAGAGGAUCGCGGAAUUCCCGGUGUAGAGGUGAAAUUCGUAGAUAUCGGGAGGAACACCAGUGGCGAAGGCGGCGAU
rnacentral:rRNA from 1 species